rnacentral:rRNA from 1 species
AGCGAACGCUGGCGGCAGGCUUAACACAUGCAAGUCGAACGGAUCCUUCGGGAUUAGUGGCGGACGGGUGAGUAACACGUGGGAACGUGCCUUUUGGUUCGGAACAACACAGGGAAACUUGUGCUAAUACCGGAUGUGCCCUUCGGGGAAAGGAUUUAUCGCCAUUAGAGCGGCCCGCGUCUGAUUAGCUUGUUGGUGAGGUAAAGGCUCACCAAGGCUACGAUCAGUAGCUGGUCUGAGAGGAUGAUCAGCCACACUGGGACUGAGACACGGCCCAGACUCCUACGGGAGGCAGCAGUGGGGAAUCUUGCGCAAUGGGGGAAACCCGUGACGCAGCCAUGCCGCGUGAAUGAUGAAGGUCUUAGGAUUGU